rnacentral:rRNA from 1 species
AGAGUUUGAUCAUGGCUCAGAUUGAACGCUGGCGGCAGGCCUAACACAUGCAAGUCGAGCGGUAGCACAGAGAGCUUGCUCUCGGGUGACGAGCGGCGGACGGGUGAGUAAUGUCUGGGAAACUGCCUGAUGGAGGGGGAUAACUACUGGAAACGGUAGCUAAUACCGCAUAACGUCGCAAGACCAAAGUGGGGGACCUUCGGGCCUCAUGCCAUCAGAUGUGCCCAGAUGGGAUUAGCUAGUAGGUGGGGUAAUGGCUCACCUAGGCGACGAUCCCUAGCUGGUCUGAGAGGAUGACCAGCCACACUGGAACUGAGACACGGUCCAGACUCCUACGGGAGGCAGCAGUGGGGAAUAUUGCACAAUGGGCGCAAGCCUGAUGCAGCCAUGCCGCGUGUGUGAAGAAGGCCUUCGGGUUGUAAAGCACUUUCAGCGGGGAGGAAGGCGAUAAGGUUAAUAACCUUGUCGAUUGACGUUACCCGCAGAAGAAGCACCGGCUAACUCCGUGCCAGCAGCCGCGGUAAUACGGAGGGUGCAAGCGUUAAUCGGAAUUACUGGGCGUAAAGCGCACGCAGGCGGUCUGUCAAGUCGGAUGUGAAAUCCCCGGGCUUAACCUGGGAACUGCAUUCGAAACUGGCAGGCUAGAGUCUUGUAGAGGGGGGUAGAAUUCCAGGUGUAGCGGUGAAAUGCGUAGAGAUCUGGAGGAAUACCGGUGGCGAAGGCGGCCCCCUGGACAAAGACUGACGCUCAGGUGCGAAAGCGUGGGGAGCAAACAGGAUUAGAUACCCUGGUAGUCCACGCCGUAAACGAUGUCGAUUUGGAGGUUGUGCCCUUGAGGCGUGGCUUCCGGAGCUAACGCGUUAAAUCGACCGCCUGGGGAGUACGGCCGCAAGGUUAAAACUCAAAUGAAUUGACGGGGGCCCGCACAAGCGGUGGAGCAUGUGGUUUAAUUCGAUGCAACGCGAAGAACCUUACCUGGUCUUGACAUCCACAGAACUUUCCAGAGAUGGAUUGGUGCCUUCGGGAACUGUGAGACAGGUGCUGCAUGGCUGUCGUCAGCUCGUGUUGUGAAAUGUUGGGUUAAGUCCCGCAACGAGCGCAACCCUUAUCCUUUGUUGCCAGCGGUCCGGCCGGGAACUCAAAGGAGACUGCCAGUGAUAAACUGGAGGAAGGUGGGGAUGACGUCAAGUCAUCAUGGCCCUUACGACCAGGGCUACACACGUGCUACAAUGGCAUAUACAAAGAGAAGCGACCUCGCGAGAGCAAGCGGACCUCAUAAAGUAUGUCGUAGUCCGGAUUGGAGUCUGCAACUCGACUCCAUGAAGUCGGAAUCGCUAGUAAUCGUAGAUCAGAAUGCUACGGUGAAUACGUUCCCGGGCCUUGUACACACCGCCCGUCACACCAUGGGAGUGGGUUGCAAAAGAAGUAGGUAGCUUAACCUUCGGGAGGGCGCUUACCACUUUGUGAUUCAUGACUGGGGUGAAGUCGUAACAAGGUAACCGUAGGGGAACCUGCGGUUG